GGAAUUAAGAAUCAAUCAGGUAAAUCCACUACCUACCUAAAAUUCUAAUUCCUAGUCCGAUAAUUGAAAUAAUGCAUAUUCCUAAUGAUUGAAAACAGUGUUUUUCGAGUCAUUUAUCGAUAGAUAGGACAAGAAAAUAUGAUUCAAUGUACUAAUGAACUACAAAAUCCACGUUCGGAAAUUGUCCCUCAAUAAGAAACGGAUCAGUGUGCAGAGGUACUUUCGGGAUUCUUGUAUUUAUUUUUCACAGACACAUAGAAAUAUAAGUAAUAAGUUACCUAUACGGUGUAAAUGUAAGAAUUUAAUAGACGAAAAUAAUCGCACUUAAAUAAACAAAUUAUUCAAUACUUUUGAAUUAUUUGAACAUAGAUUUAUGAAUAAACAUAUAAAAUUUUUCCAAUCUCUGGAAUUAAGAAAUAAGAAUCAAUCGGGUAAAUCCACUAUCUACCUAAAAUUCUAAUUCCUAAUCAAAUUUUCGAAAAAAUGUAAAUUCCAAAUGAUUGGAAAGAGUGUUUUUCGCGUCAUUUAUCGUUAGAUAAAGUACGAAAGUAAGAUUAAAUUUACUAAUAAACUACAAAGUCCGUGUUUGAAACUUGUCCCUCAAUAAGAAAUGGACCAGUGUCCGGAUUAUAAUCACCUAUUUUCAAAAAUUAUUAUUUUUUGAUUCAAUAUUCUAUAAGCUUGAACAUAUUCAAUUAACUUAACAACAUCAACACGAGCUCUGUACUAUCUAUAAUACAGCUCAAAGAAUUCAUUUUAAUUUUACUUUACCAUUGAAAAAAUUGAACAAAUUUUUGACUUCUAUUUAGAAUAAUAUGUACUU